GCUUGCUCACUUUCUCCUGAAGCUCUGGACAGGUGCUUGGAAGCUCAUUUCUUUCAUCUUGCUGGAAUUGUAUAACUGCGCAAGGAGCCUUUGUGAGACUUCAGUCUGACUUUCACAAUGGGGUCCAUCAUCUACUUUCUCCUGUUGGGGUUCGUCUUCCCUGGACACAGCGUCCCUCUGAGCCCUCAAAAAGAUGGAAAGCUGAGCACCCCUUCUCUCUACAUCCUCCCACCUCCAGGAGAACAACUGAAUUCGCAAGAAGUACUCAGUCUCACAUGCCUCAUUGAAGGUUUUUAUCCUAGAGACAUCUUUGUGAAAUGGCUCCAGAAUGGGCAACCGGUCAGUGAAUCGACAUACCACACUGGCCCACCCAAUUUACAGUCCAACACACCCGAACAGUAUUUUGCCUAUAGCAGGUUGACCAUUAGCAAGCGGGAAUGGAAUGCUGGCGAUACCUUCUCUUGCCAGGUGACCCAUGAAGCCUUACCAUUCCACGUCAAUCAGAAGACCGUACAGAAGUCCACAGGGAAACCAACUAUAGUCAAUGUCCCCUUAAUUCUCUCUGAAGCCACCAACAUCUUCUACUAAAAUUCUGUUGAGAAACCUUCGUUUGUUCUGCUCCCGCCAGCCUCUGUUUUCUCCUGCUUCGUGGUUGAGAAUUCGUGGAAAGUUUUCAGCAAUGAAGGCAGAUCUCUGACGAAAGGUGUGUUCUGACCUAGGCUUCCUUAGAAAGUAUAAAGCACAAUCUUAGUCCCACAAAACCUCUUAUAUUGAUACGGCUGUAAAUUACUUUCAUUUACAGUCUGCAAGGCUUGAUAAACAGUCUUUCAGAGGAAGGUUAUCAACACCCACCUUAUCUCAGGUGGAACGCUGCCAAAGAGCUAAUUUCCAGAUGCAGGGAAAGGCCAAACUUGGCACAGAGUCACAAACAGAAUUUUCAAAUCUUGAAUCGGCCAGGUGAACUAAUUGCUUCCUGCAAAAACCUCAUGUCCCAUUCACUCUUCUUUUAUAUCUUAUGGGAGGGGCCAAUCAUCUCCAAGCCUUACUCCCAAGUCGACCCUGUUUUCUUAAUUGUUCUUGUCAUCUGGCAGCUCUGUGCAUGCGCACACUGGGAACAGGCUCCCACUAUUCUUCUGCGUCGCUGCUGUCAGACUCUGGAGGCUGCACAUAAGUAUCAGAUGGCCUUGGCCCCCUCUCUGCCUCUGAUGCAGAGCCCUCAUUCGAGCUUUCCCCAGCUCCCAGGACUGGCCCAAGUUCCUCCCCAACCUCCUCACUGUCCAACUCUGCUGCCAGCUCCCCUGGCCGCCGGCGGGCCACAACAAGAUGUGUCAGUGUUAAAGCAUUAGUUGGUGACAUCUUUCUGAAGGCAAGAAAUAUUGUGUCAUCAAGUAUUUUUCUCAAAACAAGUAAAAAAACAUAAUAAUCUGGGUGUAAGGUCCCAGAAGUUUCCCCGAGCCACUGAGAUGCCAAAGAGAGUGAGACAUGAGAUGAGGCUUGCAAAAAAUAACAGCUUUUUUACAGACAAAGGCAUGUAAGGAAUAGCCACACCCCUGAGAGAGUGGCUCAUAUACAUUUUACUCAGGGGUGGGCUUCAAAAAUUUUAGCAAGGGGUUCUCUGCCCGGUUGCUAAGUGGGCGUGGCCAUGGUGGCCGUGGCCUAGUCAGCUUCCUGCACCACAGUGGGGGGCCGUUUUUGCCUCCCCAUUGAGGUGCAGGAAGUUUUCUUUGAGCCUCGAGGAGGGUGAAAACAGCCUCCCCAGGCUCUGGACGCCCUCUGGAGGACAGAAACGAGCCCAUUUCUGGCGUUCCCAAACUUCCGGUAGGCCCAUUUUUUGCCCUCCCCGAGGCUCCAAACGCAUCCUGCACUUACCUGCAUCCAAAAUGGGCCCAGUGGGAGAAGUGGUGAAAUGUAAAAUUUGUUACCACUGGUUCUGUGGGAGUGGCUUGGUGUAGGAGGGUAA